CCCACCCAGUCCAAGUCAAUGUAAACUUUACUUUGCUUGCAAUGUAUGUACAUGGAUUGCUCAUAGGAACGCAGAUAGCAAACACAAGUCAUUUUGACAUCAAAUUUUUGUCAUUCCCUGACUAUUAUUGACGUCACUAAUUGACGUCUUAAUGACGUUAAAAUAACGGUCUAAUUACUAAAUAACGGUCACUGAUUGUUGACGUCACAAUAAAGACGACAUUUUAACGUCAUUUUUAUGACUAUCCCAGAUGCAAGAAAUUCUUUUUCUCUCCUGUUCUCUAGUCUUCUUGCUUUCUACCAGACGGCAAGUAUUUCCACGUUUAUGUACCGGCCAUAUAUUUAAAAGUAACGAUAAAAGUAACUGCGUUUCGUUACUCGUUACAAAAGAAAAUAUAACGUCGUUACUUUUUCGUUACUAAAAAA